ACUUAAGUAGUUUAAAUAAAACAUUACAUUUUCAUUGUAAAAAUAAAUCUUUUCCUUUUUUUAAGUA
rnacentral:tRNA from 1 species